rnacentral:ncRNA from 2 species
GACGUGCGGACGGGAGAAUCCGGCUCAUGCCGGUGCCGAAGGAGCAAUCGCCCCGGAAACUCUCAGGCCGAAGGACCGGCCGCGCGAC